rnacentral:misc_RNA from 1 species
AAGUCGUAACAAGGUUUCCGUAGGUGAACCUGCGGAAGGAUCAUUAACACGUAUCCAACGUUAAACCCCCCGUGAACCUUCAGUGCGCUCGCACUUUCUUAGAAAAGGUAGCAAUCCCUGGUAAAUCAUUGCCGAACAGUUUUGAUUCAGGGACUUCUGCGUAGACUGUGCUUGAGCGUGAGGCAAGUGGCCUGGCAUUCCUCUGCUUGUUGGUGUCUGAAAGUGUCACCAGCUCUGUAUGGCGCAGUCACGAUCGCUAGAGGCCGACACGGCCGGCGACCGGGUCACUGGGCGCGAGCCCCCCUCGUCGGCCUGCGCUUAAUUGUGCGGCGACCAAACUCGAACAACUGUUAACAAUGGAUAUCUUGGUUCUC